rnacentral:rRNA from 1 species
AACGAACGCUGGCGGCAUGCCUAACACAUGCAAGUCGAACGAGACCUUCGGGUCUAGUGGCGCACGGGUGCGUAACGCGUGGGAACCUGCCCUUAGGUUCGGAAUAACUCCCCGAAAGGGGUGCUAAUACCGGAUAAUGUCUUCGGACCAAAGAUUUAUCGCCUUUGGAUGGGCCCGAGUUGGAUUAGCUAGUUGGUAGGGUAAAAGCCUACCAAGGCGACGAUCCAUAGCUGGUCUGAGAGGAUGAUCAGCCACACUGGGACUGAGACACGGCCCAGACUCCUACGGGAGGAAGCAGUGGGGAAUAUUGGACAAUGGGCGAAAGCCUGAUCCAGCAAUGCCGCGUGAGUGAUGAAGGCCUUAGGGUUGUAAAGCUCUUUUACCCGGGAUGAUAAUGACAGUACCGGGAGAAUAAGCGCCGGCUAACUCCGUG